AUAUGAAUCGGAUAGUACCAAUUCAUAUCCAUAUUCAUAUUUUUAUGUCAAAUUCGCAUACGGAUUUAGAUAUUGAUAUCAGAUACUAAAAUUUAAAUUCAUAUCCGGUAAAAACAAAUUCGGAUAUGAGUCAGAUAUUAAACGAAUACAUAUAUGAAUUAAAUAUUUAACAAAUAUAUAUAGUUAUAAACAAGAAAAAUCAAUAUACAUGUAAAUUUUUUAAUUUAUAGAAAAGUUAGAAAACUGUA
rnacentral:lncRNA from 1 species